CCUACGGGAGGCUGCAGUGAGGAAUAUUGGUCAAUGGGCGAGAGCCUGAACCAGCCAAGUCGCGUGAAGGAUGAAGGAUCUAUGGUUUGUAAGCUUCUUUUAUAUGGGAAUAAAGUGAGGAACGUGUUCCUUUUUGUAUGUACCAUAUGCAUAAGCAUCGGCUAACUCAGUGCCAGCAGCCGCGGUAAUACGGGGGGUGCGUGCGUUCUCCGGAUUUAUUGGGGUUAACGGGUGCGUAGGGGGGUAAUUAAGUCAGCGGUGAAAGUUUGUGGCUUAACCAUAAAAUUGCCGUUGAAACUGGUUGACUUGAGUAUAUUUGAGGUAGGCGGAAGGCGUGGUGUAGCGGUGAAAUGCAUAGAUAUCACGCAGAACUCCGAUUGCGAAGGCAGCUUACUAAACUAUAACUGACACUGAAGCACGAAAGCGUGGGGAUCAAACAGGAUUAGAUACCCCAGUAGUC
rnacentral:rRNA from 1 species